UACGAAGGGGCUAGCGUUGUUCGGAAUUACUGGGCGUAAAGCGCGCGCAGGCGGUCUUCCAAGUCAGUGGUGAAAGCCCGGAGCUCAACUCCGGAACUGCCAUUGAAACUGUUGGACUUGAGUACGAGAGAGGUGAGUGGAAUUCCCAGUGUAGAGGUGAAAUUCGUAGAUAUUGGGAAGAACACCGGUGGCGAAGGCGGCUCACUGGCUCGUAACUGACGCUCAGGCGCGACAGCGUGGGGAUCAAACAGG
rnacentral:rRNA from 1 species